UUCCUUUAAUUUUGGAAAAAAACAAAACUUCUGUUCCGUUAGAACCAAAUCUUUUUAUGCUGAUAUUUACUGCAUUAGAAUCAAUUUACUUAUUUUGAAAGUAAUCUAAAUUUAAGGUGAGAAAUAAUUAUGUGUGGUAAUGUUUGAAGUUCAUAUACCAUAACUUGUGCACAUCGUUGACUUUUUCAUAAAACCAAUUGACCUCUUGCGCACUUUCUAACGAGUUUUAUUAAACUGAAUAGUUUAUGAUAUUUCGUUCAAAAGUCUUGGGACAGCUGUGCAAAUGUCAAGAAGAAAGUGUCAAAAUUAUCAUUAAUUAUCAGCGCAAACGAGCUUGUCCGCUUUGCACUCCGCUUCCCAUGAUAACGCACAUUUCCAUUCCGCAAACAUCUCGGAAAGAAGAAAUGAAAGUGUAAACAAUUCCUUGGCAGCUCCGAAGAUGCAUCGAUGGCAAAUGCAAAAUUGUGCAAACAAAUCAACAAACAAACUGGACAUUAGAAUGGCAACAAGGGCUGAACAUCAGGGGAAAUGCUCGCACUUUCGAAGCAUCAGCGAAAGAUCAAUCUGCGUAAAGAAUUUGUUUGUAUACGCGUAUGAUGGUGUAUGAUGGUUGAUGCUGUAUAAAGACAACUUUGAAUUGAAAAAUUAUGAUAAAUAGCAUAACAAAGCAAUGACCAGGGAGCAGCUCAUAAAGCCAAAGCAUAUUAAUACGCUUGUACUACCAGUUGGGCGCUGCUUCACUCAGUUGGAGAGGAUUUGGUUGUGUGUGUGUGUGUGUGCCUUUCUUCGCCACAGACACAGGUUUCACACCGAAUGCUGAUGAUCAUAGACAUCAUAGCCAACAGCUGAAUAGCGCACAGCAAGAGGACACUAACUCAUCUGCACCGUGUAGGUAAUAAAAUGUGCACCGCCGCUUGAAAAAGGGUUGCUGCGUGUGUCGCAUAUGCGUCGACUGCGGUAUUAUUUACAUAAAGGUAAUUCAUAUCUGCGCGAAUGCACAAUGUCCUGUUGAGUGCUGGAACAAAAGCUAAAUAAUGGCGUAAUGUGAGGACGUAAGAAGCGUUGAAAGAAGUCCUUUCGCCACGGGAUAUCGCUGACGAUUUGUAUGCAAAAGAAUUUGAAACAGGCGACAGGACAUUUCUAUAUAAGAACGACUGCUGCCAAAGUGAACUAUAAAGCUUACACGAUUACCUAACUGUUUCCUUUUUUAUGCUAAUGCCAUAGAGUUCACAUUCGCCAUGCGCUGGUUUGACCAUAAAAGGAAUCAAAAGGAUAUUAAAACCGCGCGUGUUUGCGGAUUCUUCUUUUAUCUCUAAUUCACAUUGGCUUAUCAAGCGCUCACACUGCAAACGGCAGACCCCGCUAGGAUAUGUCUGAUAUGUGGUGUUACGUGUUAAGCAGCAUUUCUUUUCUCACAGAAAGGGUUCACCGUCGUAAUGUUGACAAAUGUCGAAAGUUUUCCUUUGCGAAAUGCAACGCCAUUCCGCCACAUGAUAUUGGAGGGGUUGAAGCAAAGAGUUGGGCGGGUCAGCAAACCGGCCGGAUUUCCGUGGCUUAGUACUGUAAUGUGUUGGUUACACUUUGACAGUGUAAAUUAUAUUGUUUUAGGACUUAUCAGUGAAAGGACAUCGUUUAACGGCAUAUAUAAACGCUUUUGGUUGAAAUAGUUAAUGCCAUUUAGGGUGAUUAGGAGAAGGGUUUAUUUAGCCACAAAACUAUUUACGACUGUCCCGUUUGUUUUGCCUGCAUACAUUUUAAGGUUAUUUGUAUUGGCAAUCGCUUUGAAAAGACAGUUCUAUUUGUUAGAGUAACUUUACAGUUAUUUCUUUCCAAUCGAUGCCAAUUGUAUUUUUGGUCAUUGCUUGAACUAAACGUUCUAACUUCGUACUUGCAUUAGCUGACUACAAUUCGACUUCGAAUAUUAGAGAAAGAACAGUGCUUUGACUUUAGUCGCUACAAACUAAACGCAAUUAAAGGCCUCAAGGAAACAAAAAAAAAAAUUUAUAUGAAACAUUUUCCCAUAAGCAUCUGUCACAGAUCAAAAUUCUCCCGCGUUCAGUAGCAAUAUGAGUACCACAAACUGCAUCCUGUCAUAUUGUGCAGGAUAUGCUCUUUGAUCCGGAAACCAUAAAAAAUAUUAGUCGCUACUACAGGCGAACUUUCAGAAAUCUCUGUUUUUAGUGUCACGCAUGGCAGCACACUCAGUCAAAGGACCUCGUAAUAAGCGUUUGAAAAUGAAAUGAAAUUAACCACCUGCAACACGUCUACUUGCGCUAUAAAAUACAAAUACAGAAGUCGAUCGACAGUGCACGAAAUACUUUAAGGGGAACUAAGGGGAACUUACUUUCAUACAUAAAUAUGUACGUUUGUGCCUGUAACAUAUGUACAAGAAUAUUGGAGUUAGGGGGUGAAAUAAGAAUGCAGUUAAAACAAGUGUAUUAACUUUCACAUGUAAUAACUAAUUUGUAGCCAAUCAUACUGCAAUGCAUUUUCACUGAAGGCUUUCGGCGUUUCACGGCAGUCUGGAUCAAAACUAGAAUUAAAGGCUUCUUGUAAAGCAUCAGAACUGUUUGCGUUGAGCGAAUGCUUUAGCACAGUGGGCACAUUCAAUUAACAAUAUUUCAACAGAGAUGUCAUUGUAUUGCCUAUGCCUGUACAUACAAUUAUGUAUGCUGA